GGUUGCGAUCAUACCAGUACUAAUGCACCGGAUCCCAUCAGAACUCCGCAAUUAAGCGUGCUUGGGCGAGAGUAGUACUAGGAUGGGUGACCUCCUGGGAAGUCCUCGUGUUGCACACC
rnacentral:rRNA from 1 species